CUAGUGUCCACAUCUAAACGUCAUCUGAGCCAUGGUGGCUUUGAGAGGUCAAAGCUUUAAGUGAACAGGAAUGUAAACCUUAAAAUUCAGCCUCUACUGCCAACGCCUGUGACUUUUCGGGCAUCACAGCAGUCCACAGCACAAAGAUCUUCAAGGAAAUCACCCAAAAAAUGAGACAUCUUUCUUAUUAGGGUUUAUCAUUAACUGAGAAAGGAAGAAGUAUUUAAAGUAUCUUUUUUUUUCCUAAAGGUAAGGAAUUCCAAUUUUCUCUAAGUAAACGUGGACUCAUUCGGUUGUUUCAUAAAUGAACACUUUGUCUUUACAACUAGUGCUACAGCAAGUUCUCCUCUUCAUUUCUAGCUCUCUUUGCUGAAGGACCCCCAGAGAAAGCAGUCUGGGGACUUCCAUCCUUACUAGAUGCACACCAAGCAGGUCCCAUUCACUCCGUUUCAGCUUUUCUUUCAUGGCAUCAGGGGCAGGAUAUUAUCUGCAAGCAGCCAAGGAAACUGCUAAAUGCCAUAGAGACCAUAUUCCCAGAGGUUUGGCUUUCUUCUUAUCAUUGAGAAGGAGCCAUCCAUGAUCCAAGAGGGGAUGAGACCUAAGGCUGGUGGAGGAACCCAGGAGCGAUGGGGGUGCACUCGCUCUGGGAAGCCUGUAACUGGGUGAGGGUGUUCAUCUUGGAUGCAGAAGGAGGACCGCUCUGGCAGAAGGAAAAAGAAGCUGCCUCAAACCAGCAGUGAGGGUCUCCGGAC
rnacentral:lncRNA from 13 species